rnacentral:lncRNA from 1 species
AUGGUGCUUCCGUGGCUGAGUAGGGUGGGUUUCUUUCGUUUUUCUCACGUUGGUGUUUUCUGGACAACUGUACUGAGCGCGUUGAUGGCAUCGGUGCUCUGCCUGUGCCCGUGGGCAGAGGACAUAGGCUGUGGGUGUGUCCCGCCCACAGGCGCGCGUGACCUAUGCAACGUGAACACAAUGAGGACAAUGACCUUUAUUAUGAUCCAUUUCCGCUUAAUAAAUAUCACAGGCAGCACUGGAUCAGAGCAGGCCACCUCACAUGGGACCUGCUGCAGUACAACUUCCAGCAUGGAGGAGCAGAGCAAGAUGUUGGCUUGCUGUGGGAGACGAGAGACACCCAUGCCUCUGACCUCUAUAUCUGUUACAGAACCCUGGCAACCACAACUCCAUUUUUCAUUUCUAUGAAUUUGACCACUUUGGAUAUCUCAUCAUGACUCCUAAAUGCAAGCAAACUUAAGCCAACUGAACUGAGGACAUGAUCACUGGAGCCGACGAAAGAAGAAAAAUUGCCUGUGUUGGACUUACUGAGAGGUGUUACUAAACUCUGUGAGAUUUUUUUUUUUUUUUUUUUUGGUGAUAAUGACUAGUUUCUUUUUGCCUUGACUUUAAAACUUAUUGAUGACCGGUAAGAUCUUACCUGAAGAUUAGUGAUAUUUUUCCUCGUUAACAUGGAUACUUAGGUAAGCUUUCCCUAAAAUACUCUAUUGAAAAACAGAGAACUUUUAAUAGAGAUCCUAGGAAAAGAAGUGACAGCCUCUGCUUUAGUUUUCAAGUCAUUUCUAGCCAGACCAAGAAAUGGAUAUGCAAGCAUUAGAAGCCCAUUUAAGUUAAAGGAAGAGGGUGUUAACUUUGAGCUUAAAUAUUCAUAUAAAUAACUUGAAAUUUGGGUCUUUCUCCAAAUAUACACAUUAUAUAUGGAUUGUUGGAAAUCUCAGAGUGUUCCUCAGGAAGUUACUCUCCCCUGGACUGGUGCUGGCUGAUAGCGACUCCAAUAUGCAAUAUGCCAAAGUGGUAGUUCCUGGGAAGUUAAAAGGAAGGUAAAAGAAACCCCUCUUAUCCUUUAAUACCAUAUCCUUUUGGGAUCUGUGUGUUUCUUAAAUACUCUGGGUGCUUCUCUGAGUGGGAAAUGGAAAGAUGCAGUAGUCACUUUACAUGUUAUCUACAAUUUUUUGCUUACAGGUAUUUGAGACAUGUCAGUGACAAGGUGAAUAUAUAGGAUAGAGAAAUGUUGUUACUGAGUGAUGAGAGUUGGAUUACGUGAAUGUUACCAUUCAACUUCAGGUGUGUUAACCUAGUGAUUUUAAAUAAAAACACUUUUGGUUCUUAUUAAUCCUUUAUUUACACAAUUAGUACCAGGUUUUAAAGUAAAAUGAACUUUCUUUGUUUUAAUUAUACACAUUAAUAUAAUAGAACACUACUGACAUUUUCUCAUUUAUUUUCAUUUUUAUAUAACAAGUUUUUAAACAGUGUUUACUAUAUUCCAAGUAGGUUCUAAGCACUUGACAGAUACUAAUUCAUUUGAUUUUUAUGACAACUUUAUAGAGUAGCUGCUAUUUUUCUGUCCAUUUUACAGAUGGGGAAAUGGAUAUGGAAAUGUCAAGCAACUUGGCUAGACAGUGGCAAAACUAGGCCUCUUCUCUUCCAUUUAACGUCAGGUUGUCACGUAAAUAUUAUUCAAAACAUGUGCCCUGAUUAAAAAAUAGUUGAGGGAGUACUGUUCUAGAGAGUAAAAAGAAAACAAAACCACCAAAUGCGACCACUGCCAUUAAAAGAAAAAUAACCAAUACCUAUCUAAAGGCACAGCUAAGCUCACUGGAAAGUAACCCCAAUAGCUGAUGUCAUGACUACUAGAGGUGAGAGUGGGUGAUAAAUUAGGUUGUGAAGAUUGAGUUGUGGUAAAAUCUAAGGACUUCAUUUCUGAUGCUCAAAUGAAGAUAGAAGAUUGGGAUUUAAAUCCAUCCUAAGAGGUGCAUCGAGACUCUUAACUUCGUAUAAUGUUAAGAUGCUCAAAAUGCUACAACUUCAGUGAAAGUAGAAAUAGAAAAAAAAAUAGCCAUUUUCUUUUGCUCUGGAUUUCGAUAGAAUAAAAAAGCU